rnacentral:rRNA from 1 species
AUACGAAGGUGGCGAGCGUUGUUCGGAUUUACUGGGCGUAAAGGGCGCGUAGGCGGCGUGACACGUCAGGGGUGAAAGGCCCGGGCUCAACCUGGGAACGGCCUUUGAAACUGUCAUGCUAGAGACCGGGAGAGGAUGGCGGAAUUCCCAGUGUAGAGGUGAAAUUCGUAGAUAUUGGGAAGAACACCGGUGGCGAAGGCGGCCAUCUGGACCGGAUCUGACGCUGAGGCGCGAAAGCGUGGGGAGCAAACAGGAUUAGAUACCCCGGUAGUCC